UUUCUGCUUCACAGCCAUUACUCACUGCAAACCUGGGGCUUCUCGGUUACAUAGCCCAGCGCAGGCCGCCCAUUUUUUCCAUUGACUGAAAACACAUUCUGACUGAAAACAAACUUUGGAUCCCCGAGGCUUGGCAGGCCCUGGGUCCUUCUCCAUAUUUAAUCAACGGGAAGCUAAACACUUUCAAUCUGCGAUGGCUCAUUUGGACGGGGUCUCAGGGCUUUCGCUUGGUGCCAGAUAUAAUAACUCUCCGCUCUCUUUUCUAAGGCCUAUUUUAUAAUUUUGCUGUUUUUCAAUGUCAAGCCCAUCUUUUGAAGAAUUUUUAUUGGAUUUCCUGCUAGACUUCAACGAGGAUUUUUCUUGCUUUGGCAGAAAUAUCAAGCAGAACAGGGGAAAAACUCAAUCAUCGUCUUGGAAAGUCAUGAUGCCAGUGCCUCCACCCCUGAGAGAGAGACUGAAGCACGGAAGGAGCCUCGGGGAGCGGACCGGUAGAGGCUUCGGGGGAGACUGAAGCACGGAAGGAGCCGCGGGGAGCGGACCGGUAGAGGCUUCGGGGCAGACUGAAGCACGGAAGGAGCCGUGGAGAGCGGACCGGUAGAGGCUUCGGGGCAGACUGUAUAAGGAGAGAAUAAAGAAAAGCCUGACCACCGCCAGACCUUGUCGUGUGUCUUUCCUGCCGGCCGGGAGCGACAUCGACAUUUGGUGGCCCGCACGGGGAUUGAUCAACCCCGAGACGCGGCGGUGGACUGCAUUCUCCUACACAGUGCUGCAGCUGCAGGACAGGUGAGUAGAGGAUAAGCCUGGGCCCUGGGUGGCGCGCACCUACAGGGUUUGUAGACUCCUCUCAACCUCACGCGUAAGUGGCGGGUUUCUUGGGCCUCACGCGGUGAGUAUGAAACAUAACACCAGAACUUAAGGUAAUAAAAGAGUGUAAAACAUAAACAUAGAAGUAAAAAUAACAGAAGAUAUAUUAAAAAUGGGAAACAUGCCAAGUAAAGAUACACAGCCUUGGUGUUGGUCCUUCGGAGACUCCUAAAGUCCAAGGACCUCAAGGUGGGGCGUAAGACUUUAGAAAAUUUCCUUGCAGAGAUUGACAGCUUUGCUCCCUGGUUUCUGCCUACAGGGCAUGUAAACCUGCCCUCCUGGGAAAAGUUGGGCAGAGACCUUUCCCUAGCAGAACGGGAGGGUAGAGCUUCAGUCUCUGCUCGUCCAUUGUGGGAAAUGAUACACACGUGCCUAAAGAGUGAGGGUAGUUACGGGGGGAGCUCUCAAGAACUUGUAGAAGUACGCGAGGUGUUUGAACAGGCACAGUGAGGAAGCUCCCGAGAAGGGUCCGUCAAGGAGGGCAGAGAUACAAAAGAGGAAGCCGAGGCGCGGUUUGUGUCUUUCCGCAGGAAUCGGGACGAGAACCAAUGUGGGUCCCAGAGAGGUUGACGCGACAAGUCCCUCGACUGAAGAUCAGGCCUGUUCCACCAGAGGCCAACCGCAGACCCAACAACAAGAUGAGCCCUAAAAGAACUGCAGGACAAUCCCUUUUUGGGGGCCUGGAACGGCUUGCUCCCCUAUGUGCUACCCUUGUAUACGCAUGGCUCGCUCGCAUGGCCUACGACCGCGUUUAAAAGUGACAGGCUUCCCACAUUCUCCUCCCUAGACAACAACAUGUAGCAGGGUGGGUGAGUCAAUGACGGGUAAGAGCGUGCCUCCCCAGCACGACUCAACCUAAGCCAGGCCCUACCCCAUUCCGCUCGAAAGCCGCUGGGAUUGUUAGAUAAAUUUCUCUCCGAGGGGAUUCGUGGAGAGAAAUGAGUGCAUGCCUAUGUGCAACCAGGUUCCGUCCGGUUCAUUCCUGGCCCUAGAAAAAAGGACGAGGGCCUCAGGGCCUUGGUGGACCCUGGGACGGCCGACCAGGGUCUACGCUAAGGGCCUACGGUGGGCCUCAGUUCGGGGCAUAGGCCUCUGCACUCUAUCCAGGACGGGCUGCGAUGCGCGUAGCCAUCAUUUAAAAUAAAAUAGGGGGAGAUGUUGGGAGCCGUGGCACUGUCAAGUCAUCAGACGCGGUGAUUGCGAGGCCUGUGGGAAAGUACAAAAGCCUGAGCUAGAUUACCCCUCUCAUCGAGCCCGCCUGUGUGGCACCUGUUUCUUAUCACCCCACUAAGUUCCCGCCUCACAGGGUAGUCUGCCUAGCUAUUAAUCCUAUAUAUAGCCAGUGCCUCCACCCCCGAGAGAGAGACUGAAGCACGGAAGGAGCCGCGGGGAACGGACCGGUAGAGGCUUCGGGGGAGACUGAAGCACGGAAGGAGCCGUGGGGAGCGGACCGGUAGAGGCUUCGGGGCAGACUGUAUAAGGAGAGAAUAAAGAAAAGCCUGACCACCGCCA